CGAAGGUGCAAGCGUUACUCGGAAUUACUGGGCGUAAAGCGUGCGUAGGUGGUCUGUCAAGUCCGAUGUGAAAGCCCUGGGCUCAACCUGGGAACUGCAUUGGAAACUGGCAGUCUGGAGUGCGGUAGAGGGUAGCGGAAUUCCCGGUGUAGCAGUGAAAUGCGUAGAUAUCGGGAGGAACAUCCGUGGCGAAGGCGGCUACCUGGACCAGCACUGACACUGAGGCACGAAAGCGUGGGAGCAAACAGGAUU
rnacentral:rRNA from 1 species